AAGAAUUUAAUAGUCGAACAGACUAAUUAUAUCAAUUUCUACUCCAAUAUAUAAUCUUAAUUCAACAUCGAGGUCGCAAACUUUAUUAUAGAUAUGAACUCUUAAAUAAAAUCACG
rnacentral:rRNA from 1 species